AGAAGCUACAAAGGGCUUACGGUGGAUGCCUUGGCGUCAGAUGCCGAUGAAGGACGUGGCUGACUGCGAAAAGCUCGGGGGAGCUGUCUAGCAAGCGAGGAUCCCGGGAUGUCCGAAUGGGGAAACCCGGCUGUGUUAAUCCACAGUCACUCUGGUUUGAAUAUAUAGGACCAGGAGAGGGAACCAGGGGAAUUGAAACAUCUUAGUACCCUGAGGAAAGUAAAGCAAACGCGACUCCCUUAGUAGCGGCGAGCGAAACGGGAAGAGCCUAAACCGUUAUGGUGGAAUAACCCUAUGGUGUUGCCGUAGCGGGGUAGUGGGGCGCAUAUGACCGAGCAUGGGAUUGGUCGAGGAGUUACAAAAUUGUCGAUUAGCCGAACCUAGCUGGAAAGCUGGACUGUAAAGGGUGAAAGUCCCGUAGGCGAAAAUCGUUCAAUCUCCUAAUGAUGUCCCCGAGUAGCACGGAACCCGUGAAAUUCUGUGUGAAUCCGCGAAGACCACUUCGUAAGGCUAAGUACAUUCUGACGACCGAUAGCGCAUAGUACCGUGAGGGAAUGGUGAAAAGUACCCCGGUGAGGGGAGUGAAAUAGUACCUGAAACCGUAAGCCUACAAGCAGUCGGAGUCCUUCGGGAUGACGGCGUGCCUUUUGAAGAAUGAGCCAGGGAGUUAGUGAUACGUGGCAAGGUUAACCUGUUGAGGGGAAGCCGAAGCGAAAGCGAGUCUUAAUAGGGCGUUGAGUCGCGUGUUCUAGACCCGAAGCCGAGUGAUCUAUCCAUGGCCAGGUUGAAGCGAGGGUAAGACCUCGUGGAGGACCGAACCCACCAGGGUUAAAAACCUGGGGGAUGAGCUGUGGAUAGGGGUGAAAGGCCAAGCAAACUCGGUGAUAGCUGGUUCUCGCCGAAAUAGCUUUAGGGCUAGCGUUGGACGUUCAGCAUUAGUGGUAGAGCACUGAUUGGGAUAGGGGGCCUACAAGCUUACCGAACUCAGUUAAACUCCGAAUGCUAAUGUUCCAGAGUCCAGCAGUCAGUCCAUGGGGGAUAAGCUUCAUGGACAAAAGGGAAACAGCCCAGACCGCCAGCUAAGGUCCCUAAAUGUGUGCUAAGUGGAAAAGGAUGUGGGAUUGCCCAGACAGCCAGGAGGUUGGCUUAGAAGCAGCCACCCUUGAAAGAGUGCGUAAUAGCUCACUGGUCGAGUGGUCCUGCGCCGAUAAUGUAGCGGGGCUAAGCACACUACCGAAGCUGCGGAUUUCAGUAUUACUACUGGAGUGGUAGGCGAGCGUCGUGUCGUGAUUGAAGCAGUGGGGUAACCCAACUGUGGACGUGGCACGAGUGAGAAUCCUGGCAUGAGUAGCGAAAGAGGGGGGAGGAACCCCUCCGCCGAUUGUUCAAGGUUUCCGGGGGAAGGCUCAUCCUCCCCGGGUAAGUCGGGACCUAAGGCGAGGCCGAAAGGCGUAGUCGAUGGACAACGGGUUGAUAUUCCCGUACCACGGGUGUCGCGUUCGGGCCGAUAUUUUGUUGCUAAGACAGCUUUCGGGCUGUUGACCCACGAGGUAAAGGUCAGCGAUGCGGUGACGGAGAAGGGUAGCUCAUCCCAGGCGAUGGUAGUCCUGGGGCAAGUGCGUAGGGGGGUUAGUAGGUAAGUCCGCUAACCGUGAACCCUGAGACAUGAUGCGGAGCCAUAAGGCGAACUGAGUAAUCCCAUGCUUCCUAGAAAAACCGCUAGCGAGUGGCACACGUGCCCGUACCCAUAACCGACUCAGGUGAACAGGUAGAGAAUACCAAGGCGAUCGAGAUAACUCUGGUUAAGGAACUCGGCAAAUUACCCCCGUAACUUCGGGAGAAGGGGGGCCUCGUUAGGGUGAUAGGCUUCUCGCCUUGAGCUCGAGGAGGCCGCAGAGACCAGGCCCAAGCGACUGUUUACUAAAAACACAGGACGGUGCGAAGUCGCAAGACGAUGUAUACCGUCUGACGCCUGCCCGGUGCCGGAAGGUUAAGAGGAGCUGUUAGCUUCGGCGAAGCGGCGAAUUUAAGCCCCGGUAAACGGCGGCCGUAACUAUAACGGUCCUAAGGUAGCGAAAUUCCUUGUCGGGUAAGUUCCGACCUGCACGAAUGGCGUAACGACUUGGGCACUGUCUCAACCAGAGACUCGGCGAAAUUGCAUUAUGAGUAAAGAUGCUCAUUACCUGCGGCAGGACGGAAAGACCCCGUGGACCUUUACUGCAGCUUGACGUUGGAUUUUGGUAUUGGUUGUGUAGGAUAGGUGGGAGGCUUGGAAACUGGAUCGCUAGGUUCGGUGGAGCCACCCUUGAAAUACCACCCUUCUAAUAUUGAAAUUCUAACCCUGGCCCAUUAUCUGGGUCGGAGACAGCGUCUGGUGGGCAGUUUGACUGGGGCGGUCGCCUCCUAAAGAGUAACGGAGGCGCCCAAAGGUUCCCUCACGUUGGUUGGCAAUCAACGGUUGAGCGCAAGGGUAUAAGGGAGCUUAACUGCGAGACUUACAGGUCGAGCAGAAACGAAAGUUGGGCCUAGUGAUCCGACGGUGGCAUGUGGAAGCGCCGUCGCUCAACGGAUAAAAGGUACCCCGGGGAUAACAGGCUUAUCUUGCCCAAGAGUCCAUAUCGACGGCAAGGUUUGGCACCUCGAUGUCGGCUCAUCGCAUCCUGGAGCCGGAGCAGGUUCCAAGGGUUGGGCUGUUCGCCCAUGAAAGCGGUACGUGAGCUGGGUUUAGAACGUCGUGAGACAGUUCGGUCACUAUCCGCCGCAGGCGUAGGAAAAUUGAGGAGAGUUGUCCCUAGUACGAGAGGACCGGGAUGAACACACCUCUGGUGUGCCAGUUGUACUGCCAAGUGCAUGGCUGGUUGGCUACGUGUGGAACUGAUAACCGCUGAAAGCAUCUAAGCGGGAAGCAGGCUUCAAGAUGAAUUUUCCCACUGGGUUAACCAGGUAAGACCCCUUGUUAGACCACAAGGUUGAUAGGCCGGAUGUGUACGCACAGCAAUGUGCUUAGCUGACCGGUACUAAUAGGUCGAGGGCUUCUUUUUC
rnacentral:rRNA from 1 species